AACGAACGCUGGCGGCAGGCCUAACACAUGCAAGUCGAGCGAACACUUCGGAUCUAGCGGCGGACGGGUGAGUAACGCGUGGGAAUGUGCCCUUCUCUACGGAAUAGCCCUGGGAAACUGGGAGUAAUACCGAAUACGCCCUACUGGGGAAAGAUUUAUCGGCGUUGGAGCAGCCCGCGUUUGAUUAGGUAGUUGGUGGGGUAAUGGCCCACCAAGGCGACGAUCAGUAGCUGGUCUGAGAGGAUGAUCAGCCACACUGGGACUGAGACACGGCCCAGACUCCUACGGGAGGCAGCAGUGGGGAAUCUUACGCAAUGGGCGCAACCCUGACGCAGCCAUGCCGCGUGAAUGAUGAAGGUCUUAGGAUUGUAAAGCUCUUUCACCGGGGAAGAUAAUGACGGUACCCGCAGAAGAAGCCCCGGCUAACUUCGUG
rnacentral:rRNA from 1 species